UACUGAAUAUGAUGACUUUAUUGAUAGUCAAUGGGAAUCUCUCUGAAUAAGUGAGUGAACGCUUCAUACUGACUUAGUA